rnacentral:rRNA from 1 species
AACCAGCACCUCAAGUGGUCAGGAUGAUUAUUGGGCCUAAAGCAUCCGUAGCCGGCUCUGUAAGUUUUCGGUUAAAUCUGUACGCUCAACGUACAGGCUGCCGGGAAUACUGCAGAGCUAGGGAGUGGGAGAAGUAGACGGUACUUGGUAGGAAGUGGUAAAAUGCUUUGAUCUAUCGAUGACCACCUGUGGCGAAGGCGGUCUACUAGAACACGUCCGACGGUGAGGGAUGAAAGCUGGGGGAGCAAACCGG